rnacentral:rRNA from 1 species
CCUACGGGAGGCAGCAGUGGGGAAUCUUGCGCAAUGGGCGAAAGCCUGACGCAGCAACGCCGCGUGCGGGAAGAAGGCCUUAGGGUUGUAAACCGCUUUCAGUAGGAACGAAAAUGACGGUACCUGCAGAAGAAGGUGCGGCCAACUACGUGCCAGCAGCCGCGGUGACACGUAGGCACCAAGCGUUGUCCGGAUUUAUUGGGCGUAAAGAGCUCGUAGGCGGUUCAGUAAGUCGGGUGUGAAAACUCUGGGCUUAACCCAGAGCCGCCACUCGAUACUGCUGUGACUUGAGUUCGGUAGGGGAGCAGGGAAUUCCUAGUGUAGCGGUGAAAUGCGCAGAUAUUAGGAGGAACACCGGUGGCGAAGGCGCUGCUCUGGGCCGAUACUGACGCUGAGGAGCGAAAGCGUGGGUAGCAAACAGGAUUAGAUACCCUGGUAGUCCACGCCGUAAACGUUGGGCACUAGGUGUGGGUUCCAACCAACGGAAUCCGCGCCGUCGCUAACGCAUUAAGUGCCCGCCUGGGGAGUCGGCGGCACGCUAAAACUCAAAUGAAUUGACGGCUGAGAGNGCGACGACGACGACGAGGGAGAGG